GUUGGUUGACAAAAAUAGUCCAUUAACAUGGACUUAUGAUGAUUUUGAAUCAUUGAGUGUUGAAGUGAUUAAAUCACUUAACGAGACGGAAACUAGGCAAGGACUUCACCUUUGUUUCCCUAUCCUAAUGGUUCACUAAGUUUAUGGUAAACUAUGUAGUGAACAAUAAUCACAUGCUCUCCAAAUUGUUUGAUGUGUAUAACACAAUUGAAAAAAGUUUCAAGAGAGAUAGUGGGAGUUUAGGGACCAUGACUAUUGUAGUCAAAGGAGAAGUCAAAUGAAGAAGAUAAUAACUCCAAGGGAACAAACUUUCUUUAUGAAAGGAUGGACAUUGGAAGGGGUAUUUGCAAGAAAUGUCUUGCAAGUGUCAAGAACACACCUUUCGAAGGUAUUGUAAAUUGUUCUUGAAAUAGUUCAAAACAGUUGGUUCUUCUACUUGAAUGUUUGAUUCCGUAUUAGUAACUAUGUUUUACAAUCGUUGUA
rnacentral:lncRNA from 1 species